ensembl:lncRNA
GGCAAGCUGAAAGCGGAGAUAAAGGCCCAGCGGCUGAAGCUGGAGGAGGGCAAAACUCGGGAGAGCAUUGCGGCUGUGGAGCAGAGAAGGGAUGGAGCAAACAGAUAACAAACGGGGACGGAGGAUUUGCAAGCAGCUGUCUGAGAACAAGAGCUAAUAAACUGCAUAGAAAUAUGCAAGCAAAGAUGCAGCUUCCUUGAUCUUUAAUACCACCAGAAAGUCCUCUGGCUGUAAAUGGUCUGCAUUGGGUAACGGAGACAGGCACAGAUGCAAUCCUUCACUUUUUCCACAUCGGUUGCUGCAGUUCAAAGAGAAAAAUAGAAACACAGUGAGGCAGCAGAGGAAGAAAUGGAUCCAAUCUAAAGGGGUCCCCGUCUCCAAACAGGAGAAAUUCUGUUUCCCUUGAUGAGGGUGGGCACACCUCCUGUUAUGGAUGGUGGUUGUGAUUAACGGACUAAUAUUGCACGUGAUGCAAUGCCCUUAUACGUAACACAGGAAACAUAGCUGUGUAGCUAUGUGGCUGUGGCUCUGUGAAUCUGUAAAACAUUGUGAUGUGAGCGCAGUGAGAAGCUGAGAAGAAAAAGGAACUUCGCCUGAACUUGCAUAGCUGUAACAGCUACCAUCUAAUGAUGCCUUGGCCAUCACCUACCAGCACGGCAAGCUCUUCUGGAGCUGCAGGAGAAACACAGCACGGGGAAGCAGGCAGGUAUGGCCGUGGGGCCUGGAAACCUUCAGGAACACAGCGAGGAACAAUCCCAUGAGGUGCACACAUACCAUACAGCUCCAAGAACAUGGUGGGGAGAGCCUCAGAACCGGGUGUGAGCAGCCCCAGGCGGGCUCCAUCAGAGGGGAGGCAGGAACCCAAGCACCACCACGCUGGAGAGGAGGAUGAAGAGCCCCACCAUCAUCACACACCGCUGGGGUGAAGGCCUCAGGGCCACAGUGCACGCAGCCCUCCCCAGGUGGCAGAGGGGGGAGCACAACGCAGAGGAGGCUGCAGCUAAGGAUAUCUGUGCGUGUGCUUUGAUACUGAUAUUGUUAAGGUUUUUUUUUUCUUGUAUCCCCUUUCUAAUAUUUUAGAUAAUACAAUUUAUCAUUGUUAGAACCAUUAUAAGUGGGUGAGUGAACACUCUUUGGUCAGACUGUUAAAACUUAAG